UGCCAGCCGCCGCGGUAAUACAGAGAUGGCAACCGUUGUUCGGAAUUACUGGGCGUAAAGCGCACGUAGGCGGAUUGGAAAGUUGGGGGUGAAAUCCCGGGGCUCAACCCCGGAACUGCCUCCAAAACUAUCAGUCUAGAGUUCGAGAGAGGUGAGUGGAACUCCGAGUGUAGAGGUGAAGUUCGUAGAUAUUCGGAAGAACACCAGUGGCGAAGGCGGCUCACUGGCUCGAUACUGACGCUGAGGUGCGAAAGUGUGGGGAGCAAACAGGAUUAGAUA
rnacentral:rRNA from 1 species